rnacentral:rRNA from 1 species
GAUGAACGCUAGCGGGAGGCCUAACACAUGCAAGCCGAGCGGUAGAGUUUCUUCGGAAUCUUGAGAGCGGCGCACGGGUGCGUAACACGUGUGCAACCUACCUUUAUCUGGGGGAUAGCCUUUCGAAAGGAAGAUUAAUACCCCAUCAUAUAAUGAUUGGCAUCCAUUAUUAUUGAAAACUCCGGUGGAUAGAGAUGGGCACGCGCAAGAUUAGAUAGUUGGUGAGGUAACGGCUCACCAAGUCAAUGAUCUUUAGGGGUCCUGAGAGGGAGAUCCCCCACACUGGUACUGAGACACGGACCAGACUCCUACGGGAGGCAGCAGUGAGGAAGAUUGGACAAUGGGUGAGAGCCUGAUCCAGCCAUCCCGCGUGAAGGAUGACGGUCCUAUAGAUUGUAAACUUCUUUUGUACAGGGAUAAACCUACCCUCGGGAGGGUAGCUGAAGGUACUGUACGAAUAAGCACCGGCUAACUCCGUG